rnacentral:rRNA from 1 species
GUGAGGAAUAUUGGACAAUGGGCGCAAGCCUGAUCCAGCCAUGCCGCGUGCAGGAAGACGCAUCUAUGGUGUGUAAACUGCUUUUGUACGGGAAGAAACACUCCCUCGUGAGGGAGCUUGACGGUACCGUAAGAAUAAGGAUCGGCUAACUCCGUGCCAGCAGCCGCGGUAAUACGGAGGAUCCAAGCGUUAUCCGGAAUCAUUGGGUUUAAAGGGUCCGUAGGCGGUUUAAUAAGUCAGUGGUGAAAGCCUAUCGCUCAACGAUGGAACGGCCAUUGAUACUGUUAGACUUGAAUUACAAGGAAGUAACUAGAAUAUGUAGUGUAGCGGUGAAAUGCUUAGAUAUUACAUGGAAUACCAAUUGCGAAGGCAGGUUACUACUUGUGGAUUGACGCUGAUGGACGAAAGCGUGGGGAGCGAACAGGAUUAGAAACCCGGGUAGUCC